UUUAAAAUGUUAAAUAACGAUUAAAUAAAUUAAACAUGGAUUUUAAUAAAGUCAGUGCAGUCUAAAAUAUGGAUAAAUUUUAAGCUACAGUAAAAAAAAAAACCUGGGUGUCAAGUUUGUUACUUUCAAAGGUCUGUGUUGAAGCCAACUUUUAAUGUCAGCAUGUAUGAAACUCUAAAACUGUGCAAAACUACCAAAUACAAAAUGAGGGUGCAGGGAGCUUGGGGAACGUGGUCCUUUACCAUGAAGAGCUUUACAUGCAAGAAGAAGCACCUUUAAAGGGACAUUAAUCACUUUUUCUGCACCCACCUUUGUGAAAAAUGACAUUACUUUUAUUGACUCAAAACUAACACAAUCCUCUGAGAUGACAUUAUUACAGCGUGAGAAGACAAGUUGUCUUUGGACAGUUUUAAAAUUCAUGCAAGUAAAGAAAUAUUAAUUGUGUACAUUUAUCAGAAAAAGAAAGCAAUUUUGUUUUUUAUAACAUUUCAUAAAUAAUGAAUAUACUAAAAGAAAAGUGCCCUCUUGUUGAAACCAGUAAAAUCUGUUUGCUUCUCUGAGCAACAGAGACUUUCUGUGACUUUUAUUAGCAAUAAUUCGGCUUCUGAAUGUGAGUUUGGUUCAUUAGGUUUGACCUCAUCCUUUGUUUGGGCUGCUGGGUAGAUGGAAGUGCCGUUCUCUGCCUUUGAGCUAACCUUCAUCAUCUUAGCCUUCGUCAUCUUCUCCCUUUUCAGUCUGGCUUCAGUCUGCAUCCGGCCAGAAGAAGCCCCAACAGAAGAAGCUGCGUAUGAAGGCAAGAAGUUCCAACAACAAGUAAAAAAGAAACAGAGAGCGAUUAUCAAGCAGGCUGCACAGGAGCCUUAAAGCCAGGAAACUGAAAGAAACUGAACUGGGACUGGAAAUCAGAAUUUCUGCUUCUCUUUAUAUAUGUUGUUAAAAUAAGAGACUUGUCUUUGUCCAAUGAUGAAAUGCCCUCAUUAAGACCUAGUUUAGGUUUUCUUGUUAUUACCUCUGCCAAGAAGGUUAUGUUUGCAAAAUAUCUCAAAAAGUUAUACAGAUCUGGAUGAAAUAUUCAGACAAGCUGCGUAUUAGGACAAGCGCCGGAUUAUUUUUAAUUUGGUAGUGAUGCGGAGCACCGUCUGGUGUCAGGAUUUUUAUGAAGGAUUCUUCAUCAUUGCCAGAUCAUGGUGUGUCAACCUGGAAUUCCCACAUGGUUCCUCACCCUGUCAGCAGCAGACAUGCAGAGGCCAGAGGUCAUCCAGAGUAGCUCAUCAGUAUAGAAAGAAGCUGACAUGUGUCAAUGAUCCUACUGCCUUGGCGGAGGUCUGUGCUCUAUGAGUGCUUUAUUGGUUCAUGAAUGAAAUAAUCAAGAAUCCAAAACAACAUGCAGGCACUACUAUAGAUGGUAACUUGAACAGAAAGACAAAUGCUGUGCAAAAGUCUUGAGUCACCCCUGAUUUGAUUUUAUGUUCCCUUCCAAGCAGCCAAACCUUCUUGAAAUUAUUUAAAAUGGUCUUGAUCAACAGUCCUUCAGGCUUUCUGAAUGGUUUCUUUAAACUUUGGUUGUUAUAUCAGUUGUUUUAUGUUUAGUGCCUUCCUAAAUUUUGCUUGCUUGGCACUUAACUCUGAUCUCUAACUCAUUCAGGCAUAAAAACACCCCUGAACUAAGAUGAUCAGUGUUGUGUAAGUAUAAAACAGACAACUUUGCAAAGAACCAGAUUUAAAUUAGAUCUUAAUGCAUUUUGUUACCAGCAGCCUGUCACAAAAACAUGAUUUGUUCCUUUGUCUUCAAGUAAAUCUAUAAAAACUACCAAAGAUCACAAGUUUGAUCAAAACAAAGUGAUCCCCAAACUUGGCACACUGUAAAUGAUCCAUUUGAGGAUGAUAAAACUCUCAGAUCUUUUGGUGUUUGCUAUGAUUUUCCCAGUUUGUUUGUUUUGGUUUUUUUUUAAAUAUGACAUUUAGGCACUUCAUAUCUGCCGAAGACCAUUAUUGAAAUCUGACCAUUCUUAAUUUUUCCUCCACUUUCCUAUUUUAUCACAUACUGAACAAUGUGUUGUCAUGCAGGCAUCCAAGGUCUCCAAAAACCUUUGAAUAACCUUCAGAAAACAUGGAGAACUAUUGAUCAAGGCCACUUUGAAAGGUUACAAGAAACUCUGGCUCUUUGGAUAUGAAGUAUAAAGAUGUAAAAGACAGUUUAAAACUUUGGAACAGCUUCGAUUUGUUAUAUUCAACGCAGAUCAUGUACUGUUAGCUCAUAUGUUGUCAACAAUAAUGAUUUAUUUACUCGUUCUUCAACAUUUCUUGUGUUCAUGACACUUUUGCCUCUAAUCCUCAGCCACCCCAACUGUCCUAACUCUUGGACAACAACAUUUUUGCUCUUUAGACUUUUACUUGUAUUGUUCAUAAAAUAUCGGCUCGUCUGAAAAGGGUUCUGGGUGACAGUUACACAAGAGAAAGAUAUUUUUGGGCAGAAAGUGAACACAUGUUGAACUGCUUCAAUUUUCAGGCACAGGUUAUCGGAGAGAUGAAGAGAUCCAUAAAUAUCUCUGGCAAAAACAGACCCUGUAUGUCCACAAAGGUCAAAUGUCUGAGUAAGGAUUAAACAAAACAAGUGACUUUUGGCCGCCGGAGCCCGUGUGGGUUGUUGUGCUGGUGCACAGACCUUGCUCCCUGUUGAGUUUGCCCUUUGACCCGUGAGCUUUCCGUCAUUCCUCCAGAGUCAGCCGUCUAGCUGCCGACAGAGCCAGGAGGAGAGGCUAUAUUACAGACAAGAGUUAAUCAGAUGGAAGAUUAUUCUGUUGUUUAGAAACUGCCAGAAGAAAAAGCUCAAACUCUGUGUAGUUGUGAUUCUGCUAGUGAGAUGUCUGCUAUGGCCCACACCUAAUGGUCCAAUCUCUAAUCACCGUGUAUUGGAAGCUCACUGCUGUUCAUGUGUAUAAAGGUUCAUUGGGAUCUGCACUGGGCAAUUAGAGAUAAAGAGUUUUAAGAGUAAUUAAGCCUCUGGCUGGCUGCAGCCCCUCAUUAACGCUGACGACCUUGUGGCAUGACAACAGGAGCUGCUAUCAAUCUAACGAUGGACAACGAACAGACACAUCAGAUCACAAUCAACACAUGCACACAUAGACUGCAGGACUACACCUAAAAGCAUUCAGACAUCACGGCGCAUUUCAUCUCUGACAGUAAUUACACCAUCAGAACCACUUGUAUUCACCUCCCAUUCUUUUUCUUCUCAAUUGGAUUUUUGUCUGGGCAAUGGUUGGAUCAUUCUAACAUACACUAUAUGGCCAAAAGUACUGGGUCCAACAGUAAAUCAAUUAAUUCUGGUGUUCCAAUCACAUCCAUGGCUGCAGGUGUAUAAAGUUCUGUGUGGAGAACCUUGACUGAUCUGCACUGAGUCCUGACCUCAACCUUCUUGAAUACAUUUGGAUGAAUUAGAGCCGAGGCUGCAACUCGGGUUUUCUCAUCUAAAUAUGAACACAUUCCUAAACCUGGCAGAAGAUGUUUACAGAAUAGUUAAAGUUGCUAUUGCUGGCAAAGGCGGGCCCAUCAAGAAACUGGACCUCAUAGAUUAAGAAUAGGAUGUCAUCAAAGUUAAUGUCCAUGUAAAAGUAGACGGAUAAAUACUUUUGGCAUUAUUCAGUCAGUUCAGGUGAACGGCCAUGUCUUACCAGGUCUGUAGUUGUGCCAUACUCUUUCCAGUUUUGGAUGAUGGAUGGACCAUUAGACUGGAUAUUGUUUUAUAACCUAACGCUGCUAUAAACUUCUCCACAAUCUUCUCCCUGACCUAUAUGUUGUGUUCCUUGGUCUUUAUAAUCCUGUUUGUUCAACGAUGUUAUCUAACAAACCUCAGAGGCCUUCAUCGAGCAGCUGUAUUUAUUAAUUACACACAGGAGGACUCUAUUUACUAAGUGGCUUCAGUAUUUGGGUGUAUCAGAUUAAAGAAGGUAAAUGUAUAUGAAUGCCAUACUUUUCAAGUUUUUAUUUGUAAGAAAACUGAAAUGUAUCAGUAACUUAACUUUGUUCUGGUCUGUCACAUAAAAUGCAAUAAACUGUGUUGAAGUC